rnacentral:rRNA from 1 species
CUCCUGGAAACGGGUGGUAAUGCCGGAUGUUCCACAUGAGCGCAUGCGAGUGUGGGAAAGGCUUUUUGCGGCAUGGGAUGGGGUCGCGUCCUAUCAGCUUGUUGGUGGGGUAACGGCCUACCAAGGCGUUGACGGGUAGCCGGCCUGAGAGGGCGACCGGCCACAUUGGGACUGAGAUACGGCCCAGACUCCUACGGGAGGCAGCAGUGGGGAAUAUUGCACAAUGGGCGCAAGCCUGAUGCAGCGACGCCGCGUGCGGGAUGGAGGCCUUCGGGUUGUAAACCGCUUUUGUUCAAGGGCAAGGCACGAUUUCGGCCGUGUUGAGUGGAUUGUUCGAAUAAGCACCGGCUAACUACGUGCCAGCAGCCGCGGUAAUACGUAGGGUGCAAGCGUUAUCCGGAUUUAUUGGGCGUAAAGGGCUCGUAGGCGGUUCGUCGCGUCCGGUGUGAAAGUCCAUCGCUUAACGGUGGAUCCGCGCCGGGUACGGGCGGGCUUGAGUGCGGUAGGGGAGACUGGAAUUCCCGGUGUAACGGUGGAAUGUGUAGAUAUCGGGAAGAACACC